CCUACGGGUGGCUGCAGUAGGGAAUCUUCCGCAAUGGACGAAAGUCUGACGGAGCAACGCCGCGUGAGCGAAGAAGGCCUUCGGGUCGUAAAGCUCUGUCCUAAGGGAAGAAAAUUGACGGUACCUUAGGAGGAAGCCCCGGCUAACUACGUGCCAGCAGCCGCGGUAAUACGUAGGGGGCAAGCGUUAUCCGGAAUCACUGGGCGUAAAGGGUGCGUAGGCGGCUAAGUAAGCCAGGGGUGAAAGGCUACGGCUCAACCGUAGUAAGCCUUUGGAACUACUUAGCUUGAGUGCAGGAGAGGAGAGUGGAAUUCCUAGUGUAGCGGUGAAAUGCGUAGAUAUUAGGAGGAACACCAGUGGCGAAGGCGACUCUCUGGACUGUAACUGACGCUGAGGCACGAAAGCGUGGGGAGCAAACAGGAUUAGAUACCCGUGUAGUC
rnacentral:rRNA from 1 species